AUCUGCUGCGAGGGGGCUGCUCAGCCCAGGAGAUUGUGGUACAAAGGGCUUGAGCACAAUUUAAAUUCACAGAGCACUGGAAUGCUGCAGUAAGUUUUUCCUGGAUCCUUCUCCUCUCCGAGCCUCCAGAACUUCCCUAGUGGGCCAAAACUUCCUAACAAAAUCAAUGUGAUGGCUCGGAGAGCUGGAGAAGCCUCGUGUGCAAGUUCCUUUCUGGUUCAACAAUCAGCCUCUGUCCAUGACUCCCAAAGCCAGGAGCAGCUGUCUCGAAUCCCUGGAGCAACACAAUUAUCAGAAUUUAUUUCCUUUUUUUUUUUUGUCUUUAACUGCACAACCUCUUGCUUGUUGUGUUUAUUUGGGGGUUUCUUUUUGUGCUGUGGUUUAGUCAACUCCUGCAACAUCUCCUGCCUGUUCUCCUUCCUUUUCCCCUUCUCCCUGCAGGAUUUUCCAGGUGGCUCCGUGCUCUCCUCCCCUCCAUCCAGCAGUGACAGGCGGGCACGAGGCCAAGCCAGGCUUAAAUCUGCUUUCUCCAGUGCCAUUCAGGAAAACAUUUCCCAGUGGAAUCGCGGGUUUAGCCACAAAUCCGGGAAUUAACAGUGCAAAGAAAGGCUCAAACAAGGCCAGACGGUGUUCACCUGGAAAACCCCUCCUGCAGGGACACUCAGGGAAUCUCCUUCUGGGAUGUGGGCUGGAGCCCUGGAGCUGCUUCCCGGCUCCUCCAUCCCCAGCUCGUCCUGCUCUCCCUGCUGCCCUCGCCAGCCCCCAGCUCCCAGCCAGGCUGGGCACGCCCGGGCUCGCUUUCCCUCCCUCCCAGAGCACGUGGAAGAAGAGGUUUCACAGCCACUUCCGUGAGCCAGAGAGGAGUUUGAUAGGAGGAUCAAACCCCUGAAAGAAUUUCCUACCAAGGUCAUUGACAGAAACCCAGAAAGAAGGAAGGACAAAUAAGAGAAACCUGCAGCUGCCUAAUCCAACGAGCACUUUGUUUGUCUUUCCUGACCAAUGAGUAAAGUGUAAAGUUACGAGCUUUGUAAGAAUGUAUAAAGAGCAUGCAUGCUAGAAUAAAAACAGC